GUGAAAUAUCUACCGAAAGACAUGAGGAAAAAUCUCAAACUCGCAGCUUUUAUGUUUUGGGCUUCUGCUCUGGCUGUGGUGGCACAGGAAACCGCUGCUGUGACAAAUGGUUCGCAGUUAGCAACUGUGGUGACCCCAACAGGGGACUUGCAGUCAAUGACAACAGGCAUUCCUACACUGGUGACUAAUAUCACUGCGUCUGCGGUGACGCCAUCAGCUGCGAGUGCCAAUGCACAAUCUGCAACAGCAGAUCCUGCAUCAAGUGUGAGUGCCGUACCACAGCCAACCACACCAUUUACAACCUCGCUGGGGACCGAAACAUCUCAGCCAACUGCUCCUGGGCAGACACAGUCUGCACCUGCCACAGGCUUGCAGUCCACAGUCUCUGCAAUUCCAACCUUCUCUAUGUCUGGACCAACACUGGCAUCUAGUUCUCCCAAUCCACCAACAUUAACUGCAGCUUCAUCAACAACUAGUUUGCCUACGGCUGGGCCAACACAAUCAACCGAUUCUGCUUUUCCAUCUAUAACAAGCCCUACUCAGUCGAGCACUUUUGCUCUUCCACCUUCAUCAACAACUGGUCCAACACAAUCAACACUUCCUGCUGUUUUACCAUCAACGUCUGGAGCUACACAAUUAACCCCUUCUGCAAUUCCACAGUCCUCUAUUAGUAAUCCGACACAAUCAACACAUCCUGCUAUUUCACUAUCAGUGUCUGGAGAUACACAAUUAACCCCUUCUUCAAAUCCACAAUCAUCUAUGAGUAGUCCUACACAAUCAACCAAUGUUGCUGUUCCUCCUUCAUCAACAACGGGCCAGACACAAUUAACCAAUUCUGAUAUUCCAACUUCAUCUACAACUGGUCCAACACAAUCAGCAACCUCUGCCGUUUUACCAUCUACGUCUGGCGCUACACAAUUAACCCCUUCUGCAAUUCCACAGUCCUCUAUUAGUAAUCCGACACAAUCAACACAUCCUGCUAUUUCACUAUCACUGUCUGGAGAUACACAAUUAACCCCUUCUGCAAUUCCACAGUCAUCUAUUAGUAAUCCUACACAAUCAACACAUCCUGCCAUUUUACCAUCAAUGUCUGGAGCGACACAAUUAACCCCUUCUGCAAUUCCACAGUCAUCUAUUAGUAAUCCUACACAAUCAACAAAUUCUGCUAUUCCAUCUCCAUCAGCAACCAGCCCAGCACAAUCAACCCAGUCUGCAUUUUCACAAUCAAUGUCUGGACCUACAAAAUUAACCCCUUCUGCAAUUCCACAGUCCUCUAUUAGUAAUCCUACACAAUCAACACAUCCUGCCGUUUUACCAUCAAUGUCUGGAGCGACAGAAUUAACCCCUUCUGCAUUUCCACAGUCCUCUAUUAGUAAUCCUACACAAUCAAAAAAUUCUGCUAUUCCAUCUCCAUCAGCAACCAGCCCAGCACAAUCAACCCAGUCUGCAUUUUCACAAUCAAUAUCUGGACCUACAAAAUUAACCCUUUCUACAAUUCCACAAUCCUCUAUGAGAAAUCCUACACAAUCAACGAAUUUUGCUAUUCCACUUUCAUCAACAACUGGUCUUCCACAGUCCAGCCCUGUUGCAAGUUUAUUAUCAUCAACAACUAGCCUUACACAACCACCCUCUUCCGUCAUUUCACUUUCAUCAACAACUAGCAAGGCACAGUCAGUCCCUCCUCCACUGCCGUCAGCUAUUGGUCAAUCAACUUAUUCAGCUAGUCCCCUAAAAUCUAAUCCACCACAGGCAUCCACAUCUGCGUAUAGUCCACCAGCAUCUUCUAUACCUGGCAAAACACAGUCAGCAAUAACAGGACUGACACAAUCAGCCACUUUUAAGGUUUCUCUGCCAUCUACAACUACAAAAACCAGUGGUGGGUCGAUGCCUUCAUCCACACCUGGGGGACUAAACUCACCUACUAGUAUGAUACAAUCCACUACGUCUGUCCUUAAACUAUUGUCUACAAUUGGUGUAGUACAGUCUACUUCUCCUUUCCUUCCACUAUCAUCUGGUCUGUCAACUACAAAAUAUGCCCAGACUACAACAGUCACUACCACUGUACCAACAACUACAACAACGACUCCAACAACUACAACAACUACAAAACCACCAACUACAACAACUACAACAACGACAAAACCACCAACUACAACAACAACAUCACCAACUACAACGACCUUGACCACUACUACUACAACAACAGCAACUACCACUUCCACAACAGCAACUACUACUACAAAUACACCAGCUACAACAACCACCACCACUGCAGCCCCUUCCCGCCCAUCACCAACUGUGACCUUACAAAUGGUCCUGAACAUAGUUUAUGUGCAGGCACUCAGUAAUCCACAAAGUGUGGAAUUUAAAAGUCAGGCAAAAGUGAUCGAGAUACAGUUUGAUGAAAUCUACAAAGCCCAAUUUGGACUAUUAUAUGUUCGGACGAUUGUUUUGGCCUUCAGGUUGGAGAAUCGUGACAGGGCAAGUUCGGUCCAGGCAGAUGUGGAGCUGGUGUUUAAUGAGAAUUCAACUCAGCCAGUCCCGCAGAGCACUGACAUUGUACAGACCCUGAAAGAUGCUGUGAAUAAUCCAUCCUUCAACUUCACAAUACCCUUGGAUGUUACCUCCAUAACUGUCACAAGUGCCCCCAGUACAAUGAACAAUCUACCAUUCCGCACCAAUGAGACGUUUGUUGUUGACCUUUCAAACUCUUCUUCUGAUGCCUUCCAGAACAGAUCCUUACUUCUUAAACACAGGUAUGUAUCACCCGGAUCAUUUAUUGAUUUUCUCACUCAACACAUACUCUGCAGCUGA
rnacentral:lncRNA from 1 species